UUCUCCAGGCUGAACAAGCCCAGCUCCCUCAGCCUGUCUUUGUAGGGGAGGUGCUCCAGUCCCCUAAUCAUCUUCGUGACCAUUCUCUGGAUGCUCUCCAACAGCUCUGUCUUUGCCUCACGAGAGCAGAGUAGAGGGGGACAAUCACCUCCCUGUCCCUGCUGGCCUCCCCUCUUCUGAUGGAGCCCAGGAUACCAUUUGCUUUUUGAGCUGCUCGUGUUAAGUUUCUCAUCCAUCAGGACUCCCUGAUUACUAAAUUUAGUAAUUAAAGAAGUAUUUUGCAGGGAUGUGAUUUUAUUUUUUAAAUUUUUCCCUGAUUCUCCAGAGGUGAGGUAGUUGGACCUUCCAAAAUUGCACGUCUUUCUUGUUUAUGUAAAGUGACUCAGAGCUGCUCCUAUGUGGAAGAGAAGAAUAGAAGUAAAAUGAACUAUAUUGACUUGAGAGUAACAUCUGCAGAACAGAUGUAUGCAGAACAGCUGCAUAAGCCUUUUUGUCAUAUAAACAUCUAAAACCAGAGCAAGAUUUAUCUUAGAAACUUUGUCUGAUAAAGUAAUUAUAUUACAACACCUGCAGUGUUCUUGUAUGCAACAUUCGAGAUAUUAAGUCUUUGUAACACUGAUGCAGACUUUUCUGUCUUUCUCAGGAUCUCUGCAAAUCUGCCUCCUUUUAUUUUGAAAGCAUCUUUUAUAACGAUAGAAGAUAACCAGAGUGCAGAAGUCUUAGCAGAACUGCUAUUGAAUGGUCAGAAUCUCAUGACAGAGGCUAUGGAAAUCCUCAGUCUGUUAAAAUGGAGGACAACGCGUUUAAUGACCCGUCUCUCAAAAUUGCCUUUCCGUAUUCUGCCACCAAGGGAACUGUGAGCACAUUGUUGUCAUCACAGAGAUAAGGCUUAUUCAUUAUGAUUGCCUGGGCAGGAACUUUCAUCCAUUGUUGAUCACGAAACACUGAUUAUGUACCAGAAAAUGCUUUGUAUGCAAAAUGUGUUCAGCCAGAUUAAAUGAUAUUGAGACAAAUUCAGCAGAUGAAGCGUGGAAGCUGAGGAAGGUACAGAUACCAACUGUUUGCCUUCUUUUAAA